GGUAUGAAAAGUUAUGAAUGGGGCUUACUUGAAAUGCAAGGAAGGAGCUAAACUAAUCUUGACAUUUAUUAGGUAUGAAUGGGACUUAGUUGAAAUGCAAAGAAUGAGCUGAACGUAUCUUGACAUUUAUUAGGUAUGAAAAGUUAUGAAUGGGGCUUAAUUGAAAUGCAAGGAAGGAGCUAAACUAAUCUUGACAUUUAUUAUGUAUGAAAAGUUAUGAAUGGGGCUUAGUUGAAAUGCAAGGAAUGAGCUAAACUAAUCUUGAAGUUUAUUAGGUAUGAAAAAUUAUGAAUGGGACUUAGUUGAAAUGCAAAGAAUGAGCUAAACUAAUCUUGACAUUUAUUAGGUAUGAAAAAUUAUGAAUGGGACUUAGUUGAAAUGCAAAGAAUGAGCUAAACUAAUCUUGACAUUUAUUAGGUAUGAAAAAUUAUGAAUGGGACUUAGUUGAAAUGCAAAGAAUGAGCUAAACUAAUCUUGACAUUUAUU